CUAGUCCAAAGGCCACUGGUACUCGCCCUGAUGCUAGUUUCUAGUCCUGCGAGUGGGAAGGUCCGCGUGCGCCUCGUUGCUCUUUCUCGUUGUGAGAGACAAUUAGCGGACCAGUGGUCAGCGUGGAUGUAUGCAUAGUAGCGCCAGCCAUGGUGGUAUGCAAGAAUUUUAGUGUUCCCUCUACAGCUCUUGCUGGGCGAGUGGCGUAAAGCCCUGAGGUUGGCCCAUACCAGAAACGACUCUUGCGCAGUAGGCCUUCGCGGCGCUUUCCCCGGGAUGUGUCCCGCUCGGAGACACGUGUAGGUAUCGCCGGCGGAGAUUGGAAAAGGGUCUACUCGAUGAGGACGCCAAGAGUCUUGCAUACUCAAGCUACGUGCAUACUAGCCCUACGAUGACGCUGGCUCGGUGAUUGAAACUUGUGGGUUUUCCUGCAUGUUGGAGCAGCGAGGUCGCUUACUACAAGCUUGAGUGCAAUCAGUGGCGCCUCUUUGACAGAGUUAACUCGACGCGAGACUACUCUUGGAGUAG